GACGAACGCUGGCGGCGUGCCUAACACAUGCAAGUUGAGCGACGAACCAGGGCUUGCCCUGGGGCAAAGCAGCGAACGGGUGAGUAACACGUGGGUAACCUACCCCGAUAACCGGGACAACCCGAGGAAACUCGGGCUAAUACCGGAUGUGCUCACUGGACUUCGGUUCAGUGCGUAAAGGAAGCUUCGGCCUCCGUAUCGGGAGGGGCCCGCGGCCCAUUGGUUUGUUGGUGGGGUAACGGCUCACCAAGACCGCGAUGGGUGGCUGGUCUGAGAGGACGAUCAGCCACACUGGGACUGAGACACGGCCCAGACUCCUACGGGAGGCAGCAGUGGGGAAUCUUGCGCAAUGGGCGAAAGCGUGACGCAGCAACGCCGCGUGGGGGAAGAAGGCCUUCGGGUUGUAAACCCCUUUCAGGAGGGACGAAGGUUCGGCGGUGAAUAGCCGUCCGGACUGACGGUACCUCCACAAGAAGCCCCGGCUAACUACGUG
rnacentral:rRNA from 1 species